GAAACCAAGCUUAUGUUGUGGUAUUGCUUGGGCAAAAGCAUUGAUGAGUAUGAUGAUGUGGAUGGAAAAUUGUGCAAAAACUAUUAAGUAUAAUGAACUUAACCAUGAAAGAGGGUGGUGGUGGGUGCACACUGUACACCUAUCAACCAUGGUGGGCUUAUUCGAACUAGGGUCCUCUUUUUGGAUGGCAUUGAGUAUCCAUAUAUUAUUGACU
rnacentral:misc_RNA from 1 species